rnacentral:tRNA from 1 species
GGACAGGUGGCUCGAGAGGAUGAAGGCACUCGACUCGAAAUCGAGAAUGGGGCUAAAACCCCAUCGCGGGUUCGAAUCCCGCCCUGUCCG